GACGAACGCUGGCGACAGGCUUAACACAUGCAAGUCGAACGAGAUCUUCGGAUCUAGUGGCAGACGGGUGAGGAACACGUGGGAACAUCCCUUUCAGUUCGGAAUAACGUUGGGAAACUAACGCUAAUACCGGAUACGUCCUUCGGGAGAAAGAUUUAUCGCUGAAAGAUUGGCCCGCGUCUGAUUAGCUAGUUGGUGAGGUAAUGGCUCACCAAGGCUACGAUCAGUAGCUGAUCUGAGAGGAUGAUCAGCCACAUUGGGACUGAGACACGGCCCAAACUCCUACGGGAGGCAGCAGUGGGGAAUAUUGGACAAUGGGCGCAAGCCUGAUCCAGCCAUGCCGCGUGAGUGAUGACGGCCUUCGGGUUGUAAAGCUCUUUUGUCCGGGAAGAUAAUGACUGUACCGGAAGAAUAAGCCCCGGCAAACUUCGUGCCAGCCGCCGCUGUAA
rnacentral:rRNA from 1 species